rnacentral:rRNA from 1 species
UACGAAGGGGGCUAGCGUUGCUCGGAAUCACUGGGCGUAAAGCGCACGUAGGCGGCUCGUUAAGUCAGGGGUGAAAUCCUGGAGCUCAACUCCAGAACUGUCUUUGAUACUGACAGGCUCGAGUCCGGGAGAGGUGAGUGGAACUGCGAGUGUAGAGGUGAAAUUCGUAGAUAUUCGCAAGAACACCAGUGGCGAAGGCGGCUCACUGGCCCGGUACUGACGCUGAGGUGCGAAAGCGUGGGGAGCAAACAGG